AAAAAAUUGUAUUCCAAGGUGAAGCUGAUGAAGCUCCUGAUACAGUGACAGGAGAUAUAGUAUUUAUCUUGCAAGUUAAGGUACAUCCAAGAUUUAAGAGGAAAUAUGAUGACCUGUUCAUUGAGCGCACAAUCUCUUUAACUGAGGCAUUGUGUGGGUUCCAAUUCAUCCUCACUCAUCUGGACAGUAGGCAGCUCCUAAUCAAGGCAAAUCCUGGCGAAAUUAUUAAACCUGGUCAACACAAGGCCAUAAAUGAUGAGGGAAUGCCACACCAUGGCCGGCCUUUCAUGAAGGGCCGUCUCUUUGUGGAAUUCAAUGUUGAGUUCCCUGAAUCUGGUGUACUCUCCCGUGACCAAUGCCGGGCACUUGAGAUGAUCCUACCACCUAAACCUGGGCACCAAUUAUCAGAUAUGGACCUGGAUCAAUGUGAGGAAACUACCAUGCAUGAUGUGAACAUAGAAGAGGAGAUGAGGCGCAAGCAGUAUCAAAGGAAGCAGGAAGCG
rnacentral:misc_RNA from 1 species